GUUUCCGGCUGAGCAAUCUCUUGACUAGGGUCAACUCCAACAAGGCCUUGCGCCCUCCCAGCUUGUCCACCACAGGGUCACUAAUUCCCUGCUGAUCAUUUGGCCAGGAGGUCACUGACCCCACAACAUCCAGGCAAAGGAGUGAACUAGAAACAGCCUCUCAACUAAGACCUCCAGGCGGCUCCUCCAUCUCACAGAGGUGCUGUUGGCCCUAAGAACAGAGAGGAAGAAAACGUAUCAGCGAGGCUAAUAACCUGCACAGGGCUGAUGACGAGUGAGGGCUGCUCUGUAAGGCUGACCGGAGAGCACUAUGCGAAUUGCAGCUCUGAUGCAGGCCUGCGGGAAAGGCCCGGUUAUAUGUGACUUCGCAAGAG